UACGUAGGGGGCAAGCGUUGUCCGGAUUCACUGGGUGUAAAGGGCGCGUAGGCGGGUUAGCAAGUCAGAGGUGAAAUCUCCCGGCUCAACCGGGAAACUGCCUUUGAAACUGUUAAUCGUGAGUGCGGAAGAGAGAGACGGAAGUCCAGGUGUAGCGGUGAAAUGCGGAGCUAGCUGGAGGAACACCGGUUGCGAAGGCGGUCUCUUGGUCCGUAACUGACGCUCAGGAGCGCAAUCGUGGGUAGCCAACAGGAUUAGAUACCCGCGUAGUCC
rnacentral:rRNA from 1 species